CGGCGAGUGAAGCGGCAACAGCUCAAAUUUGAAAUCUGGCCCUUGUGGUCCGAGUUGUAAUUUGUAGAGGAUGCUUUUGGUGAGGUACCUUCCGAGUUCCCUGGAACGGGACGCCAUAGAGGGUGAGAGCCCCGUCUGGUUGGAUACCGAGCCUCUGUAAAGCUCCUUCGACGAGUCGAGUAGUUUGGGAAUGCUGCUCUAAAUGGGAGGUAUAUGUCUUCUAAAGCUAAAUAUUGGCCAGAGACCGAUAGCGCACAAGUAGAGUGAUCGAAAGAUGAAAAGCACUUUGAAAAGAGGGUUAAAUAGUACGUGAAAUUGUUGAAAGGGAAGCGCUUGUGACCAGACUUGGGCUUGGUUAAUCAUCCAGGGUUCUCCCUGGUGCACUUGGCCAGCCCAGGCCAGCAUCAGUUUGUCGCGGGGGAUAAAGGCGUCGGGAAUGUGGCUCCCCCGGGAGUGUUAUAGCCCUUCGUGUAAUACCCUGCUUUAGACUGAGGUUCGCGCAUCUGCAAGGAUGCUGGCGUAAUGGUCAUCAGCGACCCGUCUUGAAACACGGACCAAGGAGUCGUCUUCGUAUGCGAGUGUUCGGGUGUCAAACCCCUACGCGUAAUGAAAGUGAACGCAGGUGAGAGCUUCGGCGCAUCAUCGACCGAUCCUGAUGUUCUCGGAUGGAUUUGAGUAAGAGCAUACGGGGCCGGACCCGAAAGAAGGUGAACUAUGCCUGUGUAGGGUGAAGCCAGAGGAAACUCUGGUGGAGGCUCGCAGCGGUUCUGACGUGCAAAU
rnacentral:rRNA from 1 species